rnacentral:rRNA from 1 species
UGAAAGGCCAAUCAAACCGGGAGAUAGCUGGUUCUCCCCGAAAGCUAUUUAGGUAGCGCCUCGUGAACUCAUCUUCGGGGGUAGAGCACUGUUUCGGCUAGGGGGUCAUCCCGACUUACCAACCCGAUGCAAACUACGAAUACCGAAGAAUGUUAUCACGGGAGACACACGGCGGGUGCUAACGUCCGUCGUGAAGAGGGAAACAACCCAGACCGCCAGCUAAGGUCCCAAAGUCAUGGUUAAGUGGGAAACGAUGUGGGAAGGCACAGACAGCCAGGAUGUUGGCUUAGAAGCAGCCAUCAUUUAAAGAAAGCGUAA